AUCUAGCUGAUGAGUCCCAAAUAGAACAAAACGCACAUCCUGCAU
rnacentral:hammerhead_ribozyme from 1 species